UACGGAGGGGGCUAGCGUUGUUCGGAAUUACUGGGCGUAAAGCGCACGUAGGCGGCUUUGUAAGUUAGAGGUGAAAGCCCAGGGCUUAACUCUGGAAUUGCCUUUAAGACUGCAUCGCUAGAAUCGUGGAGAGGUGAGUGGAAUUCCGAGUGUAGAGGUGAAAUUCGUAGAUAUUCGGAAGAACACCAGUGGCGAAGGCGGCUUACUGGUCCGGUUCUGACGCUGAGGCGCGAAAGCGUGGGGAGCAAACAGG
rnacentral:rRNA from 1 species